UACACGUCGACCGUCCAGCUUCGUCGCCGUCGCCGGCGCGGUCGCCGCCUGCCAUCUGUUCUAGAUGGAGCGAGACUCUGCUCUAGGUGCUCUGUUUUCGCGCUGUUUAUACUGCGAGAUUCUUUCCACGAUUCUUUGUUGGCUAUACCAUGCGAUGUAAUACUCUUGUUAUACGGACGCAUGUGAGAUUAUGAUGAAUACAAAUUCGUUUAUUCUUUACGGAUGCUAAGCUGCUGCUACUUUCUUCCAACAAAUUCGUUUAUUGUUGGGGCUGCUACCAAUCCACCGUGGAUAUUUACUAAAAA
rnacentral:lncRNA from 1 species